CAGUUUCUCAUUCAUUAUUGUAAGCAGUUUAACAUAGUAGCUAUAAGCACAAGGCUCUAGAAUAGCUUCAUCGCUUCGACCUUGGGCAGAUUAUUUGACCUGCUAGCGUCUCAGUUUCCUGAUGUAUAAAGUGAUAUAAUAACAAAACCUAUCUCAAAUGGUUACUGGGAUGAUUACAUGAGUUAAUACAUGCAGUGAAUUUAAAAGAGUGCUAGGCAUAUAGUAAGUGCUCCAUACAUAGUAAUUGCUCUUUGUUUUUAUCCACAGUGCCUGACACAAUGCCUGGCACACAGCACACACUCAAUAAAUGCCUGAUGAAUGAAUGAAUGAGUGAAUAAGGAGUAGAAUCAGGCCUAAAUACUUGGACCAGUUAUACAAUCUGGAGUAUGAAAUCGGGUCUUCCAUGUCUCAACUCAAAGGAGUGAUGCUAAUUACAGUAAUUAGGUGCUUAUGGUAAGCACAACCCACAACUCAGGAAGCUGCCUGCUUGUUACAUGUAAAGAAAUCCAAUU
rnacentral:lncRNA from 1 species